AACCAAUUAAAAGACCGAGAUGGCGGUGGGGGCGCCGAGGCCGCGCGACCUCCGGCCUUAGUGAUUGACAACAGGGUUGGCCAACAGAAGGUGGCAAUGUGGGCGGCAUGUCUUGAGAGGCACUUAAUCUUCUGAGAAACUUGUCUGAUGGGCUGAUAUGAUCUGUUCUUGAUCUGAGCUCAAAGGAAGUUAAGUCACAUUUACAGGCUUCUUUGCUGAAAUGUGAGAGUCAUUGCUAUACAAGAGGAAUAAGCAGUAGAAAUAUCCUUUAGCAGAAAUGGUGGCUCCAGUCUAUCUGCAACAACAGUUUCUCCACAGACAUCUCUAUUCAGCUGCUAUCAAAAGGAGAUGGUAUGUGUUUUGCAUAGUGCUCUUAAGUACAAAAGUUUCAAGAUCAGACAUCAUAAAACAAAUAGCAACUGACAAGCUGUAUUUGACUAUGCUAAUAACACACAUCAAAGAUGCUGUUUCCAAAGAUAACUAGAGCAUUUCACGGAUGCCAUGUGAGAAAGAACUCACGGGGGGAACAUUUAACUGAGUGACGUGUUAAAAGAAAACAUAUAUUUUAAAAUCCAUCACCUACUUCAUGUUAAUGGUGUGAGUCUCCAUUAAUUAGCAUUCUACAUUUUUCAUGCUGAACUAACUUGAGGCUACAAAGUGUAACAGAUUUUAUAAAAGAAUU